rnacentral:rRNA from 1 species
UACACUCUGCGGGAGGCAGCAGUGGGGAAUAUUGGACAAUGGGCGAAAGCCUGAUCCAGCAAUGCCGCGUGUGUGAAGAAGGUCUUCGGAUUGUAAAGCACUUUCGACGGGGACGAUGAUGACGGUACCCGUAGAAGAAGCCCCGGCUAACUUCGUGCCAGCAGCCGCGGUAAUACGAAGGGGGCUAGCGUUGCUCGGAAUGACUGGGCGUAAAGGGCGCGUAGGCGGUUCAUACAGUCAGAUGUGAAAUUCCAGGGCUUAACCUUGGGGCUGCAUUUGAUACGUAUGGACUAGAGUGUGAGAGAGGGUUGUGGAAUUCCCAGUGUAGAGGUGAAAUUCGUAGAUAUUGGGAAGAACACCGGUGGCGAAGGCGGCAACCUGGCUCAUUACUGACGCUGAGGCGCGAAAGCGUGGGGAGCAAACAGGAUUAGAAACCCGUGUAGUCCCAUGAU